rnacentral:rRNA from 1 species
GCUAGUAAUCGCAGAUCAGAAUGCUGCGGUGAAUACGUUCCCGGGUCUUGUACACACCGCCCGUCACACCAUGGGAGUCGGAAAUGCCCGAAGCCGGUGACCCAACCAAAAGGAGGGAGCCGUCGAAGGCAGGUCUGAUAACUGGGGUGAAGUCGUAACAAGGUAUC